rnacentral:rRNA from 1 species
GCAAGUCGAGCGGAAACGAGAAUAGCUUGCUAUCUGCUGACGAGCGGCGGACGGGUGAGUAAUGCUUGGGAAUAUGCCUUUGAGUGGGGGACAACAGUUGGAGACGACUGCUAAUACCGCAUAAUGUCUACGGACCAAAGGGGGGGAUCUUCGGACCUCCCGCUCAUAGAUUAGCCCAAGUGAGAUUAGCUAGUUGGUAAGGUAAUGGCUUACCAAGGCGACGAUCCCUAGCUGUUCUGAGAGGAUGAUC